UACGGAGGGUGCAAGCGUUAAUCGGAAUUACUGGGCGUAAAGCGCGCGUAGGCGGCUCGGUCAGUCGGGUGUGAAAUCCCUGGGCUCAACCUGGGAACUGCAUUCGAUACUGCCGGGCUAGAGUGUGGGAGAGGGUAGUGGAAUUCCCGGUGUAGCGGUGAAAUGCGUAGAUAUCGGGAGGAACAUCAGUGGCGAAGGCGACUGCCUGGCCCAACACUGACGCUGAGGUGCGAAAGCGUGGGUAGCAAACAGG
rnacentral:rRNA from 1 species